UACGUAGGGUGCAAGCGUUUAAUCGGAAUUACUGGGCGUAAAGCGUGCGCAGGCGGUUAUGUAAGACAGAUGUGAAAUGCCCGGGCUUAACCUGGGAACUGCAUUUGUGACUGCAUGGCUAGAGUUUGGCAGAGGGGGGUAGAAUUCCACGUGUAGCAGUGAAAUGCGUAGAUAUGUGGAGGAACACCGAUGGCGAAGGCAGCCCCCUGGGUCAAGACUGACGCUCAUGCACGAAAGCGUGGG
rnacentral:rRNA from 1 species